rnacentral:rRNA from 1 species
UACGUAGGGGGCAAGCGUUGUCCGGAAUCAUUGGGCGUAAAGCGUGCGUAGGCGGCCCGGUAAGUCCGCUGUAAAAGUCCAGGGCUCAACCCUGGAAAUCCGGUGGAUACUGUCGGGCUAGAGUCCGGAAGAGGCGAGUGGAAUUCCUGGUGUAGCGGUGAAAUGCGCAGAUAUCAGGAGGAACACCGAUGGCGAAGGCAGCUCGCUGGGACGGUACUGACGCUGAGACGCGAAAGCGUGGGGAGCGAACAGG